CAAAACAAAACAAAACAAAUUAGAAUUCAUAGUGCAGUGAGUCACUCUAGCCUAGGGAAUGAAAGUUUUUGGAAUCAUCUAAGAGUCAUUAGGAGAAAGAGGAAGAAGGAAGAGAAGGAGGAGGGGAAAUGGAACUGCUCGCUGGCUUUUGCUUUAUGAGGAUCAUUAAUCUCUGUUUCUUGGCUUUCCUUGGUUGAACACAUGUGACUGAUAAUGCCUUGGGAUAACUGGUAGGUACACUGACUGUGAAUUGAAUUGCUGGAGGUAAUGCUUGCAGUGUGUGGUCUCCCUUGCAGAAGUACGACCUCAAAGUCCAGUUCUGAUCCUUCAGACAGCAAUGCAAAGCCUCCCUUCCCUGGCUUUGGCAUUUUCUGUCUAGUUGGGUCUUUUGUUUGUUCUUAGUCUUUGCUUUUGGCUGAAUAAGCUUUUGGUGACUGAUCUUGUAUCUAACAUCAGCCAGGAACAUAUUGGCAAUCGGUGGAUUUUGCUAAGUCUUGCAGAUAAAUAACCAGCUCUUCAAUCACCACCAGGGCAUCCAAGCAACACAGUGUUCUUCUAAGGAUUAAAUUAGCACCAAACUUUAAGAAGUGAAGGAAGAAGUACACAGGAAAUUACCAACGCAUCACUCUAAUUCCCUACCUAAAUUGCUAAAACAAUCAAUAUCACAGACAGUCUGGAAGCCCCCUUGGGAAGCUAAGAAUCUCAAGUUGGCUGUCCCUUCGAGACAGGAAAAUGAGCAAUUGCGAGACCCAGAAUCUGCAGUAACAGGCAAAUGCAAGUUCUGGAUCGGAUCUAUACCUUCUGUGUCUCCUUCUUGGCGUCCCAGUGCUCAUAAUAUUCUAUAUUCCUGGACAUGAUACUUCUCUUCACGCCUUCCCUAUUAAGAAUUGAGUUAAAAUGGAAUUUUCCUUAAUGAUGCUCCAGGCAGCUGACUGCAUUGAGGCACUCUCUUAUCUGGAUUCUUGGAUUUGAUCAGUGGGAGCUGUGGCUGGAGACAAGAGGGUAGGAAGAGACAGCAGUCGUGUCUGUGCCCCCCGGACCCCCUGCGGUGUCUUUGUGGCCAUGGCUUGUAAGGAAGUCGCUGCUCUUCUCAAGGUGGCACUGUCUUCUUCACUCUCUUCUUCCACAUUCUGAAUCUGCUUUUACAGAGUUUCCGAGUAAACAGCAGAAGAAUGAGCUACAGCGUCACAUCUCCUGUGAUAAUCCCUUCUCCAAGGAAAGGCAGGAAAUCAAGCCUCGGACUUUGACAUCCGAGCAGUUUGUUAUCUACCUGUCACCAAGAAGAAAGAAAGAACAGAUGCAGCAGUUUCUCAACUAUACCCUGCCACUUUUACAGCCCCCUUUAAAGAAUCCCGAUAGCUGAAGAGCUGAUUUUCUGAUUUGGGGGCCAGCACAUUCCCUUUCCACCUCCGUGCUGGUCCUUUCCCCUUCCCCCAGAGAAAAGCAAAUAAACCUUUUCUUCCUAUC